AUUGAACGCUGGCGGCAUGCCUUACACAUGCAAGUCGAACGGCAGCACGGGAGCAAUCCUGGUGGCGAGUGGCGAACGGGUGAGUAAAGUAUCGGAACGUGCCCAGUCGUGGGGGAUAACGUAGCGAAAGUUACGCUAAUACCGCAUACGAUCUAUGAAUGAAAGCGGGGGAUCGCAAGACCUCGCGCGAUUGGAGCGGCCGAUAUCAGAUUAGCUAGUUGGUGAGGUAAAAGCUCACCAAGGCGACGAUCAGUAGCUGGUCUGAGAGGACGACCAGCCACACUGGGACUGAGACACGGCCCAGACUCCUACGGGAGGCAGCAGUGGGGAAUUUUGGACAAUGGGCGCAAGCCUGAUCCAGCCAUGCCGCGUGCGGGAAGAAGGCCUUCGGGUUGUAAACCGCUUUUGGCAGGAACGAAACGGCGACUUCUAAUACGAGUCGUUAAUGACGGUACCUGCAGAAUAAGCACCGGCUAACUACGUGCCAGCAGCCGCGGUAA
rnacentral:rRNA from 1 species